rnacentral:rRNA from 1 species
CACGUAGUUAGCCGGGGCUUCUUAGUCAGGUACCGUCAUUUUCUUCCCUGCUGAUAGAGCUUUACAUCACGAAUGACUUCUUCACUCACGCGGCGUCGCUGCAUCAGGGUUUCCCCCAUUGUGCAAUAUCCCCCACUGCUGCCUCCCGUAGGAGUCUGGGCCGUGUCUCAGUCCCAAUGUGGCCGUCCGCCCUCUCAGGCCGGCUACUGAUCGUCGCCUUGGUGGGCCUCUACCCCGCCAACUAGCUAAUCAGACGCGGGCCCAUCGCAUACCACCGGAGUUUUUCACACCAAGCCAUGCGGCUCUGUGCGCUUAUGCGGUAUUAGCACCUAUUUCUAAGUGUUAUCCCCCGGUAUGCGGCAGGUUGCCCACGCGUUACUCACCCGUCCGCCACUAAGCUGUAUAUCACUAGGUUUCAAUACAGCUCCGUUCGACUUGCAUGUGUUAAGCACGCCGCCAGCGUUCAUCCUGAGCCAGGAUCAAACUCU